rnacentral:rRNA from 1 species
AACGAACGCUGGCGGCAUGCCUAACACAUGCAAGUCGAACGAGACCUUCGGGUCUAGUGGCGCACGGGUUCGUAACGCGUGGGAACCUGCCCUUAGGUUCGGAAUAACUCCCCGAAAGGGGUGCUAAUACCGGAUAAUGUCUUCGGACCAAAGAUUUAUCGCCUUUGGAUGGGCCCGCGUUGGAUUAGCUAGUUGGUAGGGUAAAAGCCUACCAAGGCGACGAUCCAUAGCUGGUCUGAGAGGAUGGUCAGCCACACUGGGACUGGGACACGGCACAGACUCUUACGGAAGGCAGCAGUGGGUGAUGUUGGACAGUGGGGGAAGGCCUGAACCAGCAAUGCCGCGUGAGUGAUGAAAGCCUUAAAGUUGUAAAGCUCUUUUACCCGGGAUGAUAAUGACGGUACCGGGAGAAUAAGCUCCGGCUAACUCCGUG